UCUCCGUUGGUGAACCAGCGGAGGGAUCAUUACCGAGUGCAAACUCAUAACCCUUUGUGAACCUAUAUCUGUUGCUUCGGCGGCUCGCUCUCGGGCGAGCCCGCCGGUAAUAUCAGUAUCUCUGUUUGAACCCGACGAUACUUCUGAGUGUUCUUAGCGAACAGUUAAAACUUUUAGCAACGGAUCUCUUGGCUCUAGCAUCGAUGAAGACGCAGC
rnacentral:misc_RNA from 1 species